ensembl:lncRNA
CUGGCAGAGCUGGGCUGACCGGGGGGGCCUGAGGAGGGUCCUUGUGGAAGCGUGGGUGCUGACUGAUGGUCGAGAGUGUCAUCAUUUCCCUCCUAACCCUCUCUCCAGGCCACAGCCUGGCCCCUCUGGGAUUUGGGAGGGGAAGUGAAUUCCUCGAGGGAAUUGGGAGCACCUGGCCAUUAGCAUCUGCUUUCUGACCCCUGACACAGCUUAGCAGCCUCUGAAAUCCAGAGUGCUGGGCUAGAGAGAAGUUGGGGAAGCCCUCAUAAGUGGGUCAAGGAUCGUGGUCGCGGAGGUGGGCCUCUGGUGACUCUCAGAACCAUCAAUCAGUGGGGGCUCCAGGAAUCUCCUGGCAGACAGCCACAUCGAUUCUCAGCCUCGAUUACCGGUGCCAGCUCCCUGAGCAGAGAAGCUGCUGGCCUCCAGGGCACUAAGAUGGGAAGGAGGACUGACAAGCUUCCCCCCAUCUCUAUCUCCUUUCUCCCUCUCUGAGCCACAGCCCGUGGAAAGGAAUUCCAGCAUGAGGUGUUCACCCAGACCUUUCCAACAUUUUGCACCAAGGUCCCUGGGUGUGCCUGGAGCAGGGAUGUGUGUGCACAGACCAGACAUGAAGAUGGAUUGUUCCCAGCAAUAAAUAUCGACUGAUUCAUAAAUCUGGUUGCCAGAUUCGAUCACAGUCACUGCCUGUAUAAUCCAAGAGCAGGAAGAUGCCAGCUAAUUCUGUGCUGGGCCCGCCGAUUCCCGGUGGAAGAUGUUGAAUAAACGUCAAUGUCUCCUAGCCCUGUGCAUCUUGGGGUUGUGUGAGGGGCUUGGGGAGAAUGAAUCCUUCCAGCCUUGGAGGAGGCAGGUGGCAAAGACUCAAGUGAACCGAGGGACAGACGGUUUCACAGGACAGGACUGUGGCCGCCUUCUCCCCCACCAUCUCCGCCCCCCUCCCUCCCUUUAGCUUGAACCUGCCUCUACAG